ACUUACGGCCAUACCAGCCUGAGCUCACCCGAUCUCAGAAGCUAACAGGGUCGGGCUUGGUUAGUACUUGGAUGGGAGACCACUUGGGAAUACCAGGUGCUGUAAGCU
ensembl:rRNA 5S_rRNA 5S ribosomal RNA